UAUAAAGCUAGUGGCUGAAUGGUGUCUACUACGCCGGUUGGAGGCCGGAUUCCUGCAUCAUUCUGUCUAGGAAAAGCAAGACAGCAAUCCCUUGGAAGGUAUCUACACCGGUUGAAGGCCGUAUUGAGGAUUUAUUCCUGCAUCUAUAGGAAAACUAGUAAAGUACCAUAACUUAAUGUAGAGGUGAAGGGCAAUGAGCCCGAUAAUUUCCCAAAUCCACAUCACCUGUAGACUGGAUAAAUGACGAAGGUCGACGCCCAUAAAAACCACUAACCCCGUUAACUAAUAACCUCAAAUAAUUUUGACAUAAAGUUAAAAUAACAUCACAGAAAGAAGUUGAACUUGUUGGAAGGACAUCAGAGAAGCAUUAAUGAGUAACGAGUAAAGAGUAAAGGCACAUUUAAAAAAAGUGUACUUGAUGAGGGAAUGAAAAAAUUAACAAUGAGGAGCUAUCGCAAACUAUGACAUAUAAAAUAUUUCAUCUUUGAGAAUAUUAUACAUGAAAGUACAUUUUACAUAAGGAUAAAAAAAACAUUUGAAAUUUUAGGGAGUGUAAAAUGAAAUGAAAGUAAUGAAUGAGGGGAUCUUCCCCUAAAGGCGCUGACAAUAAUCCAUUCCCUAAAAAUAUGAUGAGGAAUUAGUACCAGAUAUAGGAUAUGUCAGAAAUUCUAGUUAGCAGGUGAUGCUACAGGUUUAUUGUUGAAACAGUUAGUUUGCUUCAAUUAUAGUAAUCGACUCGAAAAUAGUAGUACCCUGACGACUACAAUAAAAACAACCACAUUCAAACUUCUCAGAAAUUCAGAUUCAAAGUGAGUGUAUGAUCAAGGGGAUGAUAAUUCCGCUGCUGUCAUCAGUUUGCCGAAUGAGGAAUUCUGUUUUAAGGAUAUUUACCACAUUAAGGCACCUUUAAGGAUUUCAUUAGUAAACAAUUUUUGUCAAAGUUUCAAUUGUGGAAAUUUUUUUCAAAAAAGGGAUCAACACGAAAAAUUCAUCAGGGUAUUAUUUGGAUAUAACAAUGAUAACUCUGCUGAAUCUAUUUAGCAGAUUAUACUUCACUAUGUGUCGGUAGAUACGUAUCAAAGCUGUAGUUGUACUAUGUAAUGAUAUUUAGUGAAGUGUCUAUAAAUUUUUUUAAAUAUUCUGUGUGAAAAAACUACAAUUUCACAAAGAACUUCAAAAUGAUAAUUUCAAUAAAGCUAGAAUAAAUUCUGCAACUUCCAAUCUGGUAGCUCAUCAAUUACUAAGUAAGACUUUUCUCAAGACUUGAUUCAAUUAAGUUAUUCUCAUAAUACAUUUUUGAACAUCAUUAAAAAAGUAAAUAAAUCCAUAUUUUGCUUGUA